GAUCCUGGCUCAGGAUGAACGCUAGCUACAGGCCUAACACAUGCAAGUCGGAGGGGAAACGGCAGCUUAGCUCGCUAAGCUGGACGUCGACCGGCGCACGGGUGAGUAACGCGUAUCCAACCUGCCCCACGGUGAGGGAUAACCCGCGGAACGCGGCCUAAUACCUCAUGGCCUCCGAGCUUGACAUCAAUCUUGGAGUAAAGAUUCAUUGCCGUGGGAUGGGGAUGCGUCUGAUUAG
rnacentral:rRNA from 1 species